rnacentral:lncRNA from 10 species
CUUAAAGCAUGAAAAGUUUUUUUGUACUUAUGGCUUAUUAGUCUGUGUAGAAAUUCUGGAGACAGAAUUACAGAAACCAGGCCCACAAAGAAUCUUUGUGGUACAAUCAGAUUUCUUUAUUAUUUCUUUUAUUAGAAUGUAACUUAAGCUACUUAAUUUUUGCCUUUGUGACUACCAUCAUAGAAUAUUCUGAAGACUAAAGUUAACCAAAGAUCCAGAACAAUGUUUUAAUUUAAUGAAAAAUCUAGGCUAAUAUGAAGAUAGAAACUCAGGCUAAAAAACUUCAGCCGGGUGGGAUGGCUCACGCCUGUAAUCCCAGCUCUAUGGGAGGCCAAGAAGGGUGGAUCACCUGAGGUUAGUAGUUUGAGACCAGCCUGGCCAAAAUGGUGAAACCCCAUCUCUUCUAAAAACACAAAAAUUAGCCGGGCGUGGUGGCGGGCGCCUGUAGUCCCAGCUCCUCAGGAGGCUGAGGCAGGAGAAUCGCUUGAACUCAGGUGGCGGAGGUUGCAGUGAACCGAGAUGGCACUGCUGCGCUCUAGCCUGGGCGAGAGAGCAAGACUCUGUCUCAAAAAAAAAAAAAACACCCCACAAAAACCCAAAAAACUUCCUGGUUGUCGAAUUCAGUAUUAGACACAAAAAAUUCUAGCCUAUUUAUGGGUGGUACCACUGGUAAGAGACAAAUCACAAGAUAUUGUGUUAGGCUAACUUCAAGAUCUGUCCAUUCAGAUAGUGGUUGACAUAUUGGGUGAUCAGAAAAAUUUGUUAAAUUGCAUUAUGUGAAAAAUCAAGUAUUUGUAGAAUACUUUAAGUUAUUCUAUUUACUACUACAAUGGCAUUUUUAUUCUCUCUGACAUAGUUUUGUGUUUACUUCAGAGUGCAGCAAGGUCUCAAACCUUAAUUUCUCUAGGUUACAUAUUUCCAAAUUUAUAACUACCAUCAAGACUCAAGUUUUAGAAGAGGCUGAGAACAGAAAAUAUGGUACUCAUUCCAAAAAAUGUUAAAGCUAUAAGUAGAACUGAGACCUCAGUUUACAUCCACUUAGUUUCUAUUCCAGUGGUUUGAAGUAUCUGUUGUAAAUUGUUCAAGCAAGCUUUGUAAGUUGAUUUUUUUUUUUUUUUGAGGCAGAGUCUUGCUUUGUUGCCCAGGCUGGAGUGCAGUGGUGCAAUAUCUGCUGACUGCAA